UACAGAGGUCCCAAGCGUUGUUCGGAUUCACUGGGCGUAAAGGGUGCGUAGGCGGUCGGGUAAGUUUGAUGUGAAAUCUCUGGGCUUAACCCAGAAAUGGCAUUGAAUACUAUUCGGCUAGAGAGUCGGAGGGGGGACUGGAAUACUUGGUGUAGCAGUGAAAUGCGUAGAUAUCAAGUGGAACACCGGUGGCGAAGGCGGUUCUCUGGGCCUUACCUGACGCUGAGGAGCGAAAGCGUGGGGAGCGAACAGG
rnacentral:rRNA from 1 species